CUCGUAGGCGGUUUGUCGCGUCUGCCGUGAAAUUUCCUGGCUUAACUGGGAGCGUGCGGUGGGUACGGGCAGACUGGAGUGCGGUAGGGGAGACUGGAAUUCCUGGUGUAGCGGUGGAAUGCGCAGAUAUCAGGAGGAACACCGGUGGCGAAGGCGGGUCUCUGGGCCGUUACUGACGCUGAGGAGCGAAAGCAUGGGGAGCGAACA
rnacentral:rRNA from 1 species